CUGUAUUGUGUAGUUAUGCCUCGGUGCGCGUCCGUCUGUCUGGCUGUCUGUCUGUACUGUGUAGACUGCUACAGCUAGCUGCUCAAGGAUCAAUCAAGUGCAAAUUCAUCAUCUAGGACUAACGCAUUCUGCUAUAAAACUACAGUGCUAUUGCUCAUUGCUGCAUAAGGUUGAUGGUGUACCCAGGGAGAAAGAAAGGGUGAUGAUGCCUCGGUGUAGGCAAUGAAGCUACAUGCAGUAAUGAAUACACUGUACAUAAUUAUAAUUAACAUUUUAGAUGCAAGCGGAUUCAUCGGCCUUGGCGGAUAAUGCUUAACUUAUUUUAUUCUCUCGUUAUUCCUCUAUUUUGCUACACACAAGUUGUACUAGCCUUCAAAGUAAGCAAACAUAACAUAACUUGAGAAUGAAGCAUUUUGUGAUUAGAAGCCUAUUACAUUUAUCAUCGAGCAGCUGUAACAGUCGAUCUACAGACACACUACCGUAUACCUUGCGCAACUGAGACAUAAUGACUAUAAUAUAUGAACGAACAAACUGUAAAUAAGUAUUAGGUACAUGUAAUAGUUGUACCAUGGAUAUCAAGGGUUUGGAUUUGUACUACCGAGGGCAUGCAGUUCUAUGUAUUCCCCAAGGGAAUACAUACACAACUGCACGAGGAAGUACAAGAACAAUGGGAUUGGCUUAGUUCACUCGAUGCCAGGAACGGAAGUUAUUUAGAAUGUUUAAUCCUUCAUUAAACGUUACCCUAUUGACCCUGUUGACCCUGGCGUUCCUCCUCUGUUGGGACUCUUAGUCCUGUGUUGAGCAUCCACGCCUACUGUGCAUCAUAUAGAAGUGUUGUAUAUCUCAUCAAGAGCUUGAAAAGCAGUUUUUUGAGUGUUGUAUUAUCGUUUCGGCUCUAUCUAGUGGCUUUGUGUACCUUCUACAAGGAGAGGCUGUGACUACAGCCCAAAAUAUUAAUGAUUCCCUCUUUCUUAAGUAGCUGCAUGCAUGGGCAUUGUAUGCAAGUAAAAUCAAAGCCACUUGGCUUUAGGUUGGUAAGUAAUGUUUAUUUUUAUGCCUCGGUGCGCAUGCGCAAGCGAGGUAUACGGUAGUGUUUGUGUGUCUGUGUGUGUGUGUGUAGACCGCUACAGCUGCUCAAGGAUGAAUUAAGUGCAAGUAAGAGUUUCUAUAGGCUUCUAGUCAUGUUAAUUCGUGGAUUUGCAAAAAUUAAUAAUGCUUUGUUCUCGAGUUAUGCCUAGUUUUGCUCUUGGAAUGCCAUUGCAGCCUUUUCAGAAGAGUCCGUAGCAAAACUUGUUCACCGAGUGUUACUACUCUACUUAGUAGUUAGCUCUGCACUAGAACGCUAGCUAUUGGUAGCUGCAAGAGUGAGCAGAGAGCUGCAAGGCUCUGCUGACUUGCAGCCAUUAAUUUUAGACUUGAACUUUUGGCAUCGAUCGUUUUUACCAACAAUCAUGGUUGAUCAUUACCCACUAUUCGGUUGAUUGCAUGCAGCAAAAUAAAAGAUGUUCAUGAUAAUUGUUUGUAUAAAAGCAUAGAUGAUAAAAGCUAGCUAUUAGUAGUUUUAUGUUAUGUAGCUUUGGCACCUCCACCGAGGCAUCAGCACCCGCGGUGCUUUCAUUGUCUUAGUAAGCUGGUUUUUAAAAGCAGACUUUUUGUGUACCGUAAGCGUUCCAAUUAUAGAACCAGCCUCGGUUAGGACGCCCUCUUUUAUAAUGCCAAUAUACAGUAGAACCUCGAUUAUCCGGCCCUCGAUUAUCCGGAACCUCGAUUAUCCGGCUUGGCAGUUUUCUUUUUAAUCAGAUUACAUAAUUCAGAAAAUGGGCGUGUCCCUAAAAUGCGCAUGCGCGUUGCAGCUGUUACCAUGGAGACAUGCCUGCUUUUCUUUUGCGCAUGCGCAGACAACAUGUGGCACUGCUGUUCAUCAAUAAAGUGGGUGGAUCAAGGCGUGGUUUAUCUAUUCGAUUAUCCGGCAUAUUCACUUAUCCGGCCUGCUUCUGGAACCAAGGUGUCCGGAUAAUCGAGGUUCUACUGUACCACCAUAAUAAUAAAAAAUUUUUUGGGUACAUUGUUUCUAGAAAAAUAAUUAUGUUUUACUGCUUCUAUAAUUAGAACGUUUACGGUACCCAUUUAGAAAGUUACAUCAAUGAUUGAAUGUAGGUAAAAUUAAUGUCUCUUUGUAUUCAUUGAUAGUUGGUUCAUCGUAUCGGCACAGUAAUUUACGACAGAACUUUGCUACAUUUCCAUAAUUCUCUAUCAUGUCUGUGACUGUACUGGAAUACUCAACGGUACAGACAGAGCUCCUCUCAAGAAUUUGCCUGUCCAAGCUGCUUUUUACUGCUUGGAGGGGUCUCACUAACUAUUGCUUGUUGUGACUGUUCCACUAGCCAUUGCUAAUACAUGGAGCUCAGUAGCUAGUUUAUAGCCUAGUACUAGCUAAAAGCAUGGGCUGGAGGAAAUAAAGAAGAAAACAUUGACCGAAACGCGGAUCGUCAAUGUUAUUUACGUAGCGUUUCCCAUCCCUCUCCCUUCUUAUAUAUGAUAAUGCUACAAGUCAGCAGAGCUUUGCAGCUCUCUUCUCACUCUUGCAGCUAUCAAUAGCUAGAGUUCUAGUGCAGAGCUAACUACUAAGUAGAGUAGCAACACUCGGUGAACAAGUUUUGCUACAGACUCUUCUGAAAAGGCUGCAAUGGCAUUCCAAGUAAGGAAUAACUCGAGAAAGAAGCUUUAUUUUAAAAAUCCACAAAUACCAAGCCAAGAAAACGUGACUAGAAGCCUGUAGAAACUCUUACUUGCACUUCAUUGAUCCUUGAGCAGCUGAAACAGUCGGCACACACACACACACACACAAACACACUACCGUAUACCUUGCUUGUGCAUGUGCACCGAGGCAUAAUUAUAGCUCUACUUAUAGUAGUCUACUUAGACUACUAUGAGUACAUUGAUACCGGGAGCAAGCUAUCGGAACAGGUGCAGGUGGACAACGAAAACAGAUAUCUCCCAAAAUAAGUAAUAAACAGUUAUUUAGUGAACAUGAUUGUAGGUAACCAUUCCGGGCAAUUGAAGGCCAUGCACAAUAAUGUUCGAUUGAUGGCAUCCCAUUAUUGUUACGAGCAUUGGAAAGCAGCACUGCCAUGCAGUUUGGUCAGCAUUACUUCACUUUACAUCUGGUCGAACACGUCUCCAAGAUAUAUAUGCGUACACACAAAGUGGGCUGUCCAGCACACAUUCAUGUACACAAGUUGAUACUUCCAAUCUUUUGCUGUUUCCAAUGAACCCAGCAACCAUUCACUCGGAUCUAGAAGACAAAAGCAACAAAAAUUGCAGCUCUAAAACAAGUAUAUAUUCUAGUAACAUACGAAUGCUCUGAAUGUAAAAGAAGAUUGUGGUUUGUGUCAAACAUGCGAAGACAUGCUGUGGGGGCAGUGUAGCAAGAAACAAUGCUGUCAACAUAGAAACUUAGUUAACUUAAUCAUUGAUACUCACCGGCACCAUGCAGGCAUCUUGUAACCAAGACAAUCUUCUCUUUUAGAUUCAGAGCAUUCGUUGUACCUUUUCUCCCUGUUUGUCAUAACCAAUAAUUUAUACAUCCCAUGCAUUUACAUGCAGGUAUGUUCAUACAUUAAAGCAUGUACUGAAACAAAGAAUUUACUGCUUUGUGGCUGAGAUUAGAUGGACUCGGGAGCGUUUUAUUCCAGUAGUUUUUCCUUAGCCUACAAAAUUAAUAUACAAGGAAAUAUAAAAUUAUUAUUAUGGUACCAAUGAAAAGUGACGACAUACCUGUCUUAAUUAGUGCCUUUAUCCGUGAUAAUCUCUCCAACAGUAUAUAUGAAACAACAUUUUGUUGUACUUCUGCAAUUUUUGUUGCCUUUGUUUCUUUUUUUGUUUAGAUCCGAGUGAAUGGCUGUUGGGUUCAAUGCAAACACCAAAUGAUGGGAAGUAUCAACUCGUGUACAUGAAUGUGUGUUCCACUUUGCGUAUACGCGUGUACCUUGGAGACGUAUUAAUUUUGACUAGAUGUUGAAGUUUGUCCCUUAAAGUACUGCUAACCACACUACAUGGCAGUGCUGCUUUCGAAUGCUCGAAACAAUAAAUGGGAUGCUCGCCAUCGAAUGAAGGAUUCCAAAUAUCGUUACUUAUACGUGUUCUUAUAUUUAACUGUCAUUACUUACUUUGGUAGCAAUGGGAGUCUGUUUUCAUCGUCCAUCUGCACCUUGCUCACUGACGUCCUGGUACCAAUGUACUUAUAAUACAGUAGAGCUGUGCAGCUCUAGGACGCAUUCAGCGAUCAUCUACUACUCUUCCAUGCAUGUACGUAGUAAUGUUGGCCUAUUGUUGUGCCCAAGGCAGCCUUCCCUUAGCCCUGUUGCCUUCACUUCAUAAUUAUGUGAAGAAUUCGCGGGGGUGCAUGUGUUGUGGUUAAAUUUAACUUCCGUUCUUGGCAUCCAGUGAGCUAAUUAACCAAUCCCCAUGCAAUAACAAUACACACGCAGAUAUCCAUGGUACGAACACCUAGAAGCUGUUAUCAAACCCAUUUACAACUGAGUAGUAGCCUGCAUGCCGUGCAUGCACUAAAGUGUGCGUGUGCUACAAUGCGGUCGGGUAGUUUUAGUGAAUCUGAUUGAUUAUACUGAAGAAUUGAUCUUCACAAUGUGAUCCAGUGGGUGUGUACACAUUUUUGUGGCUUUCUGCAAAAUUUGUCACGUAGUAUUCUUUAUUAUGCCUCGAGGCGUAGCCGCACGAGGGAUACGGUAAAGCUGACUGUGUGUGUGUGUGUGUGUGUCUGUGUGUCUGUGUGUCUGUUCCAGCUGUAACUGCUCAACGGUUGCAAUGCGACGAAAACUAACAGCUUCUAUAGGCUUCUAGCCACGUUCUCUUGGAUUUUGAUUCGUGGAUUAGCAAACUAAAGCUUCUUUCUCGAGUUAUGGCUAGUUUGACUCACAUUGAAGGCUGUUGCAGUCUCUUCAGAAUCUUUCAUAGCAUCAUCUGUCCGCACAUACUUUCUAUUCAACAUAUGAGUUAGCCUUGCACUAAAGCGCUAGCUUUUUGUUAGCUACAAGACUCAGAAAAUAUCUGUUAAAACAGCUAGCUAGCAGUAGCCAUUGAUCUGUUUGGACACACCCUUUAUUAUUCCUGUGGAUGUAAUGCGCAUGCGCGCUCAUUCCCCAUGUGUGAGAAACCAAGAUCCAGAUCCAGAUCCUCCUGGCAGAAUCAUCUUUGUCUUGAGGGCCUGGUAAGCCACAAAACACUACCAUAUAACAAUAUAGAUAACAAUAUGCAUGUACACAGGUCUGAUAUUAUAUACACUGAACUACAGAUCCUGGAAGAAUCAAUUUUCGUCUUUCUUGAGGUCCUGGUAAGCCACAUAAUACAAUAAAUAACAACAAUAGACGCAUGUAAAUAAGUCUUUUCUUCUCAGUGACUUUAUAUAGGUAAGCUAACUUUAAUAUAAAAUUCAUUAUAGAAACUAAUAUAACACUCUAAUACUUUUGAGCGAAAGCAAAAACAUGGCGAGAGGCAUUAGCACAGCGCCAGCUUGAACACUAGUAAUUAUUAUUAAAGAGAGGGUCCAGGUACAACAAACCCGUAGAAAUGGAUGUAUGUAUAAGUAAAACAUAAUAAUUAACCCAGGAAAAGAAUGUGGAAAGGCGAUCUCAAGCUUAAACACUCGUUAUGUCACCCUGACCAUCCACUUCUUUACACUGGGAUAAGUAUAGGAUAUACCACACCUAAGAGGAGGAUAUGCACCCAUAUAUCCUCCGCUACCGUGGUUACUCCAAGGCGGAGCCGAGGGGUAUGUAACCACGGCAGCGGAGGAUAUAAUUUAUAGGGUGCAUAUCCUCCGAGUAGGUGUGGCAUAUCUGACUUAUACCACGUGACCGCAGCACUAUAAAAGGACCUCCCCCUAGCAACAAUUCAAUCGCAAUGCAGACUGCAAAAAAGAACAAGACUAUGCCGGAUUUUUCAGCCGUCAAAGAGCUAGUUGAGCAACAUGUUGACUCCUACAGAUGCUCAAGAGUUUCCUUGGUCCAAGCGUUGACCAUUCGACGUCCCUUACUGGAGUUGCAAGCUCUUCUUGAAUAAAAUCUAUCUAAACCGCACCCAUGGAAGCUUAGCCAUCUUGUUGGAGAGCACCUUCCGUGUUUCUGCCGUCGCUUCGAGUCUUAGUACCGUCAAGCAUGGCUCUUUUCUCUUUGCUUACUUUCUUGAACAAAUGAAAAAACAACUUGAAAAACUGUGCAUGCCUAGCCUCGAUCCCAGGCCGCACUUCCCACUUCACUUCUUUCCCGGUGAAGGAGGCUAGUGCAUGCCUAGCCUGGGGCUGUAUGCUAUAUAUCUAUCCUACAGCUGUUGACCAAUGAGAUCAAUGUGGUAUAAGCUCAUAUGUUCCCCAAAACUGUUCACCUAGUAUAGCCUAACAAGAAAUUAAUGGAUAAUACCAGUAGCGAGAAAAGAACCCAUGCACAUACCAGUAUUUUAUACAACAGAUGCUUGACCUGUCUGUUUUUAGAUUCUCAAAAUUAAUCUGCAGGUUGUCUAAACCUGACUAUUAAUUUGUAAUACUGAUAGAUCUACACAAUGAUUUCAAACUUGGGUUUCAAAAAUUACCAUGUAUCAUAAGUGUAAGCAGUAAAAAGUGUUCAAGUCCAAAUGAAUUACAUAUCUAAAUUACAGCAUUGUUAGUCGAUAGAGAGGUCAGGAAACAUCUGCACCUUAUAACGGUACUGGAUCUCAUACUUCACCCACCGCUCAGGCUGGGCUUUUGCAUUCUCAACCUUAAACGAACGAAUUUGGAGACCGGUAGAACUGCCAGGGAUGCUGUAGCUAACUUCAGCAUGUUCUGACUGUACGUCUGGCUUGUGCAUUCCUGAGGAGAAAAUGAAAAGGUACAGCAAACCCGUAAAUUUUAAGGUCCAACAAAAUUAAUAAUGUUCCUACCUGGCUUCAAUUCCACGUCACACCUGAAGUUGUGAGGCACAGAAGACUCCAAAUAGUUACCUAUCCUCCACAUCACAGCUCCAUAUGCUGGCUCAUACCUGGCAGAACCCAAAUGGGUUUCAAUUUGACAUGAGCUACUCUUGAUCUUUCGCCUGAAACUUCCUCGCAAAACUGAAGUGGACCGAACAGAUUUCUUGGAUCCAAAAGUUGUGCCUGCAAGGAACAGAGAACUCCAACUCGAAGGAAUUGGGAAUUUGACUACUAGAUCCUUAAUAGGUCGGAGAUGAAGAUUGUGUUUUUUGCGUAUACUAAAAGAGGCAGUAAUUCUGACAGUAUUUCGUUGCUCGCUGUACUCCAUAAGCAUGCUGACUGUAACUGGAGGGCUCACAUACGGAUCAAUAGAAGAUCUCAGUAGCUCGAAUGGAUACCCAUCUAUUGGCUGGAACUUGAUUUCCCUUGAAUUUUUGUACACAGCCUUGUCCACACAUGGAUGGAGAACCACAUUGUUUAGCCGGACCUGCCUUGACAUACUCACAGACAAUUGACCUUUGCCCUGCAAAAGCAAGGCUUCAACAUCAUUCAAGAGAAUCUUGCAAUCUGAUGACCCAGAGAGAAAGGCUUGAACAAAGAUACGGUUAAGUGACUUUCGUUCGAGGACUGCUCCAUCACAAUUCAUUAGAAUGUCAGAGUUGUCCUUGAUAUCAAUGAACACCUGUAGCAGAAGGUCAAUAUAAUUAUAAUAUUACAGUAGUUACCUCUGAUCAGUGGGAAGACAUAGAGGACAGUACAAGAACAAGAAAGCACAUGUAUAUAGAGGCAUUAGCGUUAUUAUUAUGAGGUUCAAAAUGCCCAGAGCCUAUACCUCGUUCAUUCUGUAUGAGACUCCUGGGUCUCUAGUGACUGGGAGCAUUCGAAUUCCUUCAUUGAUCUGGUCAGAGAGUCCUUGUACCACAGUCACAUCGGGACAGCCUAGCUUGACAAUGGUGCGUGCUUUGCUAAUAUGUUCCACAAAUAGCCACCUCUUCAAAGUUCUCUUCUCUUGGAUCUGCACAUCAGCGAUACAGUAACACAAACACAUAAUAUAUGCACUAUUCUACAUUGCUGUGUGAUCUACGCAUACAUUAUACCAUAGAUUAAGGAGAGGAAAAGGAGUGGAAACGGCAGCAGAUCAUGCACGUGCUCAACGUACAUAGACUUGAUGCAUGCUUGUGGUUUGAUCUCAAACCGCGUUUCGCUUUUCAAUGUUGUGGCUGAUAGCGUUUAACCAUAGUUAUACCACACUUACGUCACCACAAAUUGAUCUCAUUGGUCAACAGCUGUAGGAUAUAUAGAAUAUUAGCAUACAGCCCCAGGCAUGCACAGUUUUUCAAGUUGUUUUUUUGUUUUUUCAUUUGUUCAAGAAAGUAAGCAAAGAGAAAAGAGCCAUGCUUGACGGUACUAAGACUCAAAGCGACGGCAGAAACACGGAAGGUGCUCUCCAACAAGAUGGCUAAGCUUCCAUGGGUCCAUGGGCGCGGUUUAGAUACAUUUUAUUCAAAAAGAGCUUGCAACUCCAGUAAGGGACGUUGAAUGGUCAACGCUUGGACCACGGAAGCUAUUGAGCAUCUGUAGGAGUCAACAUGUUGCUCAACUAGCUUUUUGAUGGCUGCAAAAUCCGGCAUAGUCUUGUUCUUUUUUGCAGUCUGCAUCGUGAUUGAAUUGUUGCUAGGGGAGGUCCUUUUAUAGUGCUGCAGUCACGUGGUAUAAGUCAGAUAUGCCACACCUACUCGGAGGAUAUGCACCCCCUCUUAGGUGUGGUAUAUUCUAUACAUAGAGUAGAGAGGGAUUGGAAACGGAAGUACCCUCGAAGUACCAUCCGUGUAUCUCCGCGGUUUAAUUGAGGCUUACUUUUUAACACAAUGGCUAACAUGAAUAAUUCAUGAGAAUUGUUUUGCUCUCUGUAAGAAGUCCACGAGCAGUUCUGCUGCUAAAAAUCAACUUUCAUCUCAUACUCGAGGCCAUUUGGGACACAGGACACUAUUUAGUUACACAGCCUUAGCUAUAAUUAUCAUAAGUUCUAUAGGAACACAAGCAUGAAAAGCGCUCUGUGUACCUCUAGCUACUUCACGACAAUCGAGAUUAUAUUUUCUUCGUUUCCAAUUGAUACCUACUAUCAGGGGUCAUGUAAUUCAGUAAUAGGGGUAGCUCUGAGAUGUAUGCAUUGGACACAAUAAGUUUCCUGGGCUUUUGCAGGAGUUAUGAAGAGAUACACGGAUGGUCCCAGAGCCACUAAGUAGUAAAACAUCAUGUGAAUCACUUCCGUUUCCAAUCCCUCUCUACUCUAUCUAUGGUUUAACCUAGCUGCUCGAAAAACUCUGCUAUAUAAGAGACGACCAUUCAGGCAGGUAUUGUAUAUAAAACAGUGUAGUCUUUUUACCAUGCAGUGCCUCGUGCCGUUAUUGGGGAAAAUUACGCCUCUUACGGCUGUACUGUAUAGCGGGUUAUUUUCGAGAUACUAAAUUUCCGUGGAUUGCCCAAACAAAAUUUCGAGGAUUGUGUUUUCGAGUUCAAAUGACCACUCAGGUGAAUUAAGGACUGGGACCACCUUCAAUUAUUGCUGAAUCUGCAAAUUCUAAGACCCGCCCACGCGUUCAUUACUUCAAUGUACCCUAUUCAUUGUGCAGUAAAUCAGUUAGUUUAGAGAAGUGACUUAGGCGGCGUUUAAAACACUCUCUAGUAAAGCUUGUGAGGCAAUAGAUGACUAGCUGAUCUAUCCUUGUACUUUGUCAAAAAAAUUUUUGAUCGUGUCCCUGGGAAGCCUACUAUCCAAUAUGAGGCUGCUACAUCAAACAACUUUCUGUUAUUUCUUCGUUGCUAAGACCAGAAGGGGGGCUAAGCACUAGAGUGAGUUGUUAGCUUAGAUAGAACUAAGUAUAAUGAGCAGCAGCAAUAGCUAUUGUUGCCCAGUGAGUGGGCAGAUCAAAGCAAUCCAGUGCUCAGUAUAUGGCAUGUUGCAUCACUGCCAUGGCUACCAUAUAUUGCACUGCAUUAUAUGGCAUAAUGCACUGGAUUAUAUGCACUUGCACUGUGUGUAAAUAUGGGGGGUGAUCAGUGCCAAAACCUCCAGCUCUUUUUAUUUAGUACUAAAAUCAUUUGCAUAGUGAAGUUCUACAUACAAAUGACGCGCUCUCUCUUAUUUGCAUGGUGAGUUCUACAUGCAUACAAAUGAUACUCUCAUUUGCAUGGUGAAGUUCUACAUACAAAUGAUACUCUCAUUUACAUGGUGAAGUUCUACAUGCAAAUGAGGGUAUUAUUUGUAUGUAGAACUUCACUAUGUAAAAAUGAUACUCUCAUUUGCAUGCAUGGUGAAGCUCUACAUACAAAUGAUACUCUCGCAUUUGCAUAGUUAAUUUGCUAAACUGGAAACUACUCCCCUUUUCACCUAAGAAAAGGCCUCAGGGGAGAGAGUAAUUUUUUUAACUCCAUUAUUGGACACGCCCACUUAUGUGACCAAAAAGGAUUGCCACUUGAGCGGGCGUGUCCAACACGUAGUUUAUAUAUGUUAAUUAAAAUGUCCGUCUAUACUAUGUUAAUUGUGUCCUCCGUUCAAUAUGCCACUAUAAAUUUGCAGUUGUCCUAUAGGGGCAUGCGUGAAGAAUGUCACGCUCCCACAAUGUUAACGUCAUAACAACUUGCGUGCCACCACUCACGCAUGCACUAUUUCUGUUGCUAUAUAGCCUUGAGUAUAAAAUACAUUUCUGACGGUCUGGGAUCAAAGCUGAAUAAACACCCACACAUUAUGUAGUUAUAGUGGUUUGUUCUAAUUGUAUUCCAACCUUCCCUUUUUCAUCCGAGCCUUUCCUUAUAGAUGAAAAAGGGAGUGGUUUCAAGUCAAUGCAAAUAUAUAUGAGAGUGUCAUUGUAAAACUAACAAAGCUUAUCAUUUGCCAUGCAGCGUUAUUUGUAUGUAGAACUUCUCAUUUGUAUGUAGAACUUUCAUCGUACGUAGAACUUCACCAUGAUUGUAUCUGGGCGUGGCAGGAACCGGAAACUAAAGCAGAGAUUCUUUACAUUUUGUUUCCUGCUUUUUUUCUGUAAUACUAAAGGUGUACGUAGAGGCAUUUUACUCCCGUAAAAGUAAUUUAGCUCCACGUCAUGUUCUCAAGUUAGCUAGCUAGCUAUGGCAAGUUCAGAUUUUGAUGGAGCACUAAAGUACGCGUUGUCUUGUUUGAAGCAAGAUGGCCUCACUCUCAUGGCAGAACAGGCCCAGGCUCUCAAGCUCCUAUUUGAGGGAAGGGACGUGUUUAUCUGGUUCCCAACGGGGUAUGGCAAGUCUCUCUGCUAUCAGUUGCUACCCUUUUUAAUGGACUACAAGCUAGGUAGGACCAAGGCUCCUCUUGUUGACAAAAGUGUUGUUCUUGUUGUCUCUCCUCUUGUGUCUCUCAUGAUUGACCAGGUCAGGAGUCUGAAGGACUAACAGGCAGAUCCAAUGCAACACUGAGCCUCCCUGGAAGCUGAUCCUUGAUACCCAUGUUACCAAACAGCUGCCUGCAUCUUCUAGUUGUUGUGGCCUCAGACUCAGUGCUAGUGCUAGUGCUACAUACUCUGCAAACAGGGAACUUGGAAGCCAUUGAAUUAGUUGGUUUUCUUAGUUGGUUUUCUUGACCACAUGGCUUUGGACAGUAUUAGUAUUACGAUUAUUACUUUUCCGUUUGUUGUACCGUAUUUCAUGCAGAGUCAAUUUGUUUUACGUAAAAACCACGCCCAGAUACAAUCAAUACCAGGCCUAGGUAGGCGACCUAGCGUUCAAUUGGAGACGGAUCGGCCUGGGGUUGAGGCUACAUGCAAAUAAGAGUAUCAUUUAUAUGUAGAACUUCACCAUGCAAAUAAGAGUAUCAUUUGUAUGUAGAAAAUCACCAUGCAAAUAAGAGAGAGCGUGUCAUUUGUAUGUAGAACUUCACUCUCAUUUGCAUGUAGAACUUCACCAUGCAAACAAGAGAGAGCGUGUCAUUUGUAUGUAGAACUUUACCAUGCAAAUAAUUUUAGUACUAAAUAAAAAGAACUGGCACUGAUCACCCCCAUAUGUAAAUGCAGUAGAUUUCUUUAAGACAUAUCCAUUUGGGACUUAUGCCCCACCAUCCCACCCAAUACUCAGUUGGUCCCUUUUACAGGCUACUACCUUUAGUGGGAAGAAAACCUAAAAAAAUUACUAUGGAAUUCAGCAAAACUAUGAAUACACUAAAUUCCUUCAAAACACAUGUCUUUUAUUACGAUUUAUAUGACCAGUCAGACGAGUUUAACGUCAUUGGGCAACAAGUUAGUUAUUGCCGGCGCCCUCGUGCAACAUGCGGCCCUCGGGCAUUAUAUUGCUCCAGUGCAAUAUAUGGCAUGUUGCACUCUGGCUGGGCAAUAACUAAUACGUAGACUUAGUGUUUAAACGCCGCAUUCUCAGUGAAAAUAGCGCUUCGACAAAAAGGACCACCCCACUGAUUAAUUAGUGGGCGGGGCUUCAUUUUAAGUGAAAUAUAAUCCUCUAGUGCCGAAAGAGAAAGCACACUCACAUGAUUAAACCAUAGAUGAAGGAAGAGAAAGGGAUUGGAAACGCACGUCAUUUGACGUCACGUUUUACUAUGUUUUGUACGUUGUGUGGGCGAAACCUUUGAAGUCUAGGUGCGUUACGCCUAGGCUGCUAAGCUAAGAAACUUAUUUUCGUCUGUAAUCACAAAAACAAGAGCUAGAUAUUGCGACUGAGAUGUGCUUCAUAAAGAAAAUACCAAGUACAAAGUUGUGCUACUCUUGGAAAGUUGUCUGAACAUGAAAUGUAUGUGGGGCCAUUGAAGGAAUGCCACACGGAAGAAGAUAUCAGCAUUGGAAAAAAGCUGCAAGAGAUAGACGGCUGGCUUGGUGUGCCAAAGAUGGAAGUGCAAACGAAGUCCUCAAGUGAUUCUAAUAUUACAUUGUGUCCUUUGAUAAGUCCUCUGAUAAUAACUUUUACCAAUCGUGAACCAACUACAAAUGUAUGUCUACAUUAUCAUUAUUUUUUUUUUAUAAAACAACCACUUAAUUAUAAUAUGGAAGUUGUACUGUAUAGAACUUAAAGCAGUAUCUCAUUCUAAUCCUUUUCAUUAUUCUGUGAAUAGAGACCGUAGUCAUUCUUUUAUUGAGCUCAAAACUCUUCAGUCUUAUCGUGGAAGUGUAUUUCAGUGUAUUAUUAUUCCUGUCAGAAGUUACCAGGUCUAAGCAGACUUCUCAGCAUUCUGACUAUUUUAGCUUGUCUAUUAUGACUUUUAAUAUGACCUAUGCAAGAUAUCUUACCAUGUUAGCCCUUUGAUGAGAAGAAGACAAGCUUUGAUUCACUGCCACAGCAGCCUCUCUUAUUGGCGCCAAUCUCGCGCGCAAUGUAUCCCUUAAUAAUGAUUACAUCACCGUAACGCGCCUGGAUUCAACCACGCCCAUCGUUUCCAAUCCCUUUCUCUUCCUUCAUCUAUGAUUAAACACUCUGGCCAAGGCUGGAGAGAAUCCCUCACUUCCAAAAGACACACUCAGCGCAUACUUAUUGCAAGGAGCACGAACACCCAAAAUACUCCUCCUAGUGGCUUAGUGCUUAGGCCACUCCAAGUGAUACUCUGGUUUCUGGUCCUGAAGUUUUUCUAAUUGCAUGCGGGCGGGCGGCUUUUCUCAUUAUGUCGUUAUCAAUUUCACCUUAUGAAUCUCAUUAUUUUGCAAAUGAAUAUCAUUAUCACACUAUUUUGUACCACGUGGACCAUUCUGCGCAUGCGUAGUAGAAAUAAUGAGAUAGAAAUCCAAGAAAAAAAUCUGGUGCGGGCGCUGGACCAGAAACCAGAGUAUCACUUGGAGUGGCCUUACAGUACAGAUCUAUUAUUGUAAUAGCUAGAUAGAUGCCUAUCUACAUGUUUAACUACAUUAUAAGAUAGGUCUAACAGACUCUGAGGGUCAAAUUAUGCUAAUUUAGUGCCCUAUUAUUCACAGUUGCUAUAAGUCUCCCUAUUAUUCCAAAAAUUAUGCUAGCAUAAUUUGCCAAGCCCUAAUCAGGAAGCUUUCUAAAUUUAUUCUCCUACUUAUUAGACAUGGGAUUGGGGCUGGCAGAAAAUACCCCCUCUGAAUCUCACCCAAAACACAAGACACAGGUAUUUUGGUCUUGGGAGUUUUACUCCGACUUACAUCCAAAGGUCACCUAUAAUUAUCUAUACAGCACCUCCAACAACGUUACUCACAGACACUACUGUUACAGUAGUUCUAGUCUUUAAAAUGUUUUGCCUAGAACACAGCGUCGAUUAAACCGCGGGGACACACAGAUUGCAUGCGAGGUAGCCUCGUUUCCAAUCCCUCUCUCUUGUAUCUAUGAUCGCUCAACCACCUUAUGGUUUGACAAGUUUUAUGUAUGACAAAAUAAAUUAUUAGUAUUGGCAAAGCUAACCUCUGUUUUCUGAAGCUUGAUCUGGUGAACUUUAGUCUUCCGAUCAUAAUUUCUGGCCACUGGUUUUGUAAGAGUGUGGUUGUGAUGGAGUCUGAUCUCAUGUAGUGGGGGUGUGUCAGGGGGAACAACUAAGUACACAAAACAGGAAUAAAAAUACAAUGCAACAUGAUCAACAAAUUCAUACCUGUGCUACUAGAGAUGGGCAUUGAAGGUGGUGUACUCUUCUUAAUCACCAGAAUACCUUCCCUCACAGAUAAGUUCACAGGAAGCCACUUGCUCCUAACGGUGUUAGAACAAACACACUACAUAGUGACGCACUUGGAGCAUGACAUGCAUGCACAGCAGUAAUGGUUUCUAGCCACUGAGCCACACGAGGAAUUGAAGAUGUUUACCUCACUAAAGGAAGUGUCAAUGAAGAUACCUUUGUACAAAGAUCCCUGCUAAAUAUCGACAGGAAUAUAACCUAAGAUCUGUUGUAUUACUACUUUAAUACAUCAUAAUAAGAUUACACUGUGCAUCAGUGAAAAUUAGAUCAUGACAAUUCAGUGUCAUAAACCUAAAUAGAAAAGUGACAUGAAUUAAGUUAUAGAACGGUAGAAGUCCAGUACCUAAUAAGUUUGAUAUUUUUUACGUUUCGAGAUAGGUUUCAAGUGA